UACAGAGGGUGCGAGCGUUAAUCGGAAUUACUGGGCGUAAAGCGUGCGCAGACGGUCAUGUAAGUCGGGUGUGAAAGCCCCGGGCUCAACCUGGGAAUUGCAUUCGAGACUGUGUGGCUAGGGUGCGGAAGAGGGAAGCGGAAUUUCCGGUGUAGCGGUGAAAUGCGUAGAUACCGGAAGGAACACCAGUGGCGAAAGCGGCUUCCUGGUCCAGCACCGACGUUCAGGCACGAAAGCGUGGGGAGCAAACAGG
rnacentral:rRNA from 1 species